rnacentral:lncRNA from 1 species
GCACCCUAUAAUGGGAAGGAGGAAGCAGGUGAAUGAGGGGCAGGCUAAAACCCUGGAGCUCUUCCAGAAGAGCAGGAGACUCUGGGCCUCGGGCAGAGCCAGGCUCAGAGGGGCAGACACUCACCGGAGCGCCACGAGCACCAGCACUUCCUGCAGGACCAGGAGGUCCAACUUCUCCCUGAGGGUGGGGAAGGGAGGAAGAGCUGGGGUGCCAUAAGGGAACGGAAGCGAUCACAAGGGGCAGGAAUGUGGCAAAGCCACAGCUUUGUGGGACUCCCAGGCUACCACGAAGACCCCUACAGGAUGCAGCCUCACUUACUUUGGGACCAUCAGUGCCAGGAGUGCCG